AACGAACGCUGGCGGCAUGCCUAACACAUGCAAGUCGAACGAGAUCUUCGGGUCUAGUGGCGCACGGGUGCGUAACGCGUGGGAAUCUGCCCUUUGGUUCGGAAUAACAGUUGGAAACGACUGCUAAUACCGGAUGAUGACGAAAGUCCAAAGAUUUAUCGCCAGAGGAUGAGCCCGCGUAGGAUUAGCUAGUUGGUGUGGUAAAGGCGCACCAAGGCGACGAUCCUUAGCUGGUCUGAGAGGAUGAUCAGCCACACUGGGACUGAGACACGGCCCAGACUCCUCCGGGAGGCAGCAGUGGGGAAUAUUGGACAAUGGGCGAAAGCUUGAUCCAGCAAUGCCGCGUGAGUGAUGAAGGCCUUAGGGUUGUAAAGCUCUUUCACCCGGGAUGAUAAUGACAGUACCGGGAGAAUAAGCUCCGGCUAACUCCGUGCCAGCCGCCGCCGUAA
rnacentral:rRNA from 1 species